UCAGAAAUGGGUCGUUCAAAAGGGGAGGGUUGUCAGCUUCCAGUUGUUUCCUGAAUAUUCUUACUUAAAAAAAAAUAAAAAUAAAGCUCUAGUGUUUAAAUUUCAGAGGGCAGAGUAAUAGGACUUUAUUAGUAAAGACAUUAGCAAUUCUUAUUCUGAAAUUAGUUUCAAGGUUCUUGCCUUUGAAAUGAAUGCUUUAUGAUAUUCACUAACAGGAUAGAUUUGUAUAAGAAGAACAUUUUUCUUUAAAUCACUUUUAUUUCUUAACCAAUCUACAAGUGGGUCAGUGAAAAGUUAAUGCUUUUUGGUGCAUUACUUCUGAACACAGGGAUUUGAUCAGAUUGAAUUAUUUCUUUUGAAAUUCAGGAAAGGUCAAGGUUUUUCUAUAAGAAGACAUUUCCUUAGAAAUUUAAGAACUAAGGUUUAAAUCCAUUAACACCAUCUAGGUCAUCAUAGAUGUAGUGUGCAAAUCUCAAGAGUCUGUGUUAAAUGAAUAGGGUCUGCUCCUUUGUUACUAGAGAAAAGACACUUUAUUUGUAUGCAUUUAAAAUAGAUUUAAGAAUUUACCAUAUUCAUAUUCUUUUCCUUUUUUGGAGCAAUGAUCAGUCUUGAAUCUAUAGUAAAUGAAGUAUUUAAUACAUAUACAUUUGUUGUAAAUACAUGAGACUAUAAUUGCAGAAGAAUGUAACUUAAACAAAUAAUGAAUGGUUCACUUGUUCUUAAAUGACCGAUAGCGAUCAGAGAUUAAACUAUGGUAAUUAAUCAUUGUGA